rnacentral:lncRNA from 1 species
AAUUGCUAUAGACAAUUAUUGGACUGCUCCAUUCAGCUACUUCAUUUGUUCAUGCCAGUUGCAUUCUUCACUCCUUCAACAGCUGCCUGUGCCGUAGACAUCACCUGUUCACCAGCCUACACCAAGAACAAGUAUCAUAAUUAAAUUACACAUCUGUUCGUUUUAUUCUUGAGCACAAGCUAUAUAUUGUAGUGGUGAGGAUGAAUUCUCUGGGGAAAAAAACACAGAAAAUGAGAUUGAAGGAGAGUAUUUGAAUACCCCUUGCACUGAUUCCUUUGCAUAUUGAGCAGCAUUACCAGCUUUUUCCAUCAAGGUAGGACUGGUCUUCUCCUGAAACAAACAAAAUCCAUGCCUUAUCAUGUAUUGGAAGAGAAAUAUCAUUGUGUUCUUGAGCACAAGCUACUGUAGAGGUGAGGAUGAAUUCUCUAAGAAAAAAAACAUAGAAAAAGACAUUGAAGGAGAGUAUUUGAAUACCCCUUGCACUGAUUCCUUUGCAGAUUGAGCAGCAUUACCAGCUUUGUCCACCAAGGUACUGGCCUUCUCCUGAAACGAACAAAAUCCAUGCCUUCUCAUGUAUUAGAACAGAAAAAUCAAGCAGAUUCAUGAAUUAAAAGGAAGAAAUAAACAAAUUUCACAGGCUGACCUGAACUUGGCCCUUGGCCUCACCAGCUUGGAAGCUCAUCUUCUGGGUAUUGUCAGCCAUCUUUGGUUUCUGAUUUCUUUAAAAGAUUUGGAAGAACUCAAAUAAAUUCUCAGAUUCUUGAAAAAACAAAACUCUUGGUAGUAAAGGAAUGCGAUGGCAGCCAUAAUUUAUACUGAUUAAAACCAGUCCAUUGCUGGACACGUGCAAUGCCACGUGUCAAGCUAUAGAUUGCUUGGAAUAUCAUCCGUUAUUGAGGUUGAGAUUUUGGGGGCCUUUGACCAGGGGUGUUGUGAAUUUUUGAAUAAUUCAUGUGCUAACUUUCUUUCUUUGUUUGUUUUUUAUUUUAUUCAAAAAAAAAUUCUUUCGGUUUUUUUUCAAGACAUUCAUUUAAGAAAGGAUCAUGAUUAGUUUAUGUGACUAAUUUGAAGAAACACUCUUGAAUAUUUAAUUAACAUAAACUUUAUUGUUUUAGAUUUGCUGAUCAAAAUACUGAGAUUUUAUUUGAAUUUUUUUAUUUAAAUUUUGCUUUAAGACAAUAAUGGAUUUUUUAUAGAUAAUAGUGCUUUCAAUUUACAAAAUAUCUUGAUAUUAGGUUCAUCAUUGAUUUUAUAAUUGUUUAUUUUUCAUAUUAUUAAACAAAUAUAGUUUUUAAAAAUAUAAUGUCAAGUUAAGAUUUUUCUAGUUUAAUUUAUUGAAUCGAAUUUAAUAAUCAUAUAAAAAAUUUAUCAUGACUUGAAUAUAUUUUUAAUUUAAUUCGUCGAAAGAAGUUACUUACUAGGUCCAUUAUAUAUGUUGUCUAUUUGCAGGAUUAAAAAUUUUAGGUAGCUUCCUGUAUAGAUGAGGUGUUGCCGAAUUUUUUUAAAAAAAUUGAAAUUGUGCCCCCCUCAAAAAAAAAAAAAUGUGUAGAUGCCUUGAGGAAAAUCAAUUGUACACCAUGAGAACAAGAUCACUACUAGUUCUUCUAAUAAUGAUAGUGACAAUCAUAAGUCAUUAGGUGUCGACCAAUAAGAGACACUUGAGACGCAAGCAUCGACUCACGACCUUGCCUUAUCAAGUGCAAUGCCGCAAUGUCGAGGGGUCCCUUCACAGUGGGAUCCAUUCACACCGCAUGUAUAAGGCCCAAUGGAAAGGCAACAUUUCAAUGUAAGUUUGUUUGCUUUUACAAUGACAUGUUUAAUAAUAUCGUAAAAACCGUAUUUCAUUAAAUUUAUUCAAUUUCAUGUUUACAAACAUUGAGGCUGCCCAAACAAUAACUCAACAUUUAAAUCAUCAAUGAUAAUUUCAUUUUUUCAAUGGAACGAGGUUUCCAAACAUCCUAAAUGAAAACCGGAAGUCGAUGCUUGGUUUUCAAGGUUUAAGAUUAAUAUUAACUUAAUUUUUUUUAUUAUUUUAAUUUGUUUGCUUUAUUGAAAUUACUAAAAAAUUUCUUUUUAUAAAUUUUUAUUGCAAGGGAAAAUUUGAAUUGGAUAGAGCUAAUGAUAAUGUUGCGAGGAAGGUUUGGAAGAAUUACGCUACAACUAAGUAACAUCGAAAUCAUGAUAAUUUUUUAAUUCAAAAUAUUAAAAUUUUAUUUGUCAUUUACUUAUAGAUAAUUUGUUUGUAUCAUACAGGUCGCAUGAUUUUUAUACAAGGUACAAAAGAAAUCCAAAGAAUAUACGAAAGAAAGUGAUCUACCAAGUUGAAAUGACAUGGCGAGUAGGACGGAUUUUAGGCCACCAUACAUAUUGAAGACUAUAUGGGUGGAAUACAUUCAGCAUGUGAUGUCCGCGCGUAUCAUGCAACAGUCACAGUUCAGUGCUGGGAACUGGAGCUGAAAAAUUCAUGGUUAUGUUAUCACACACAUCGGCGGCUCCGUUUCGAUCAUUUUCACAUGAAAAGAGGAUAGUAAGAUUUUUUUUAAUUGCAUCCAUUUUUUAAUUGAUUGUUUCUUAUAAAUAUAUUUAACUGGCAACAUUUUUAUUUUGUAGGCUACAGUUCUUGGACAUGAGCCAAGUCCAAUUGAGCUUUUUGUGGAAACACACGUGUGAAGUGAUGACUGCCAAAAAGAAAUGCAACAAUUCGUAGAUAGCCAAGCUCAACAUUUUGUAGUAUAUUUGUUUUCAACCCUUUUUUAAAAAAAUUAUUAUUUACUUGAAUUUGAUGAAUUUGUUUUUUAUUUUCAGGAGACAUAUAACAGCCGGUUAAAAGAGAGAUACAUGGACGAUUCUUCUACCCAUCCAGAUAUCGAUCUAGAUUUAUAGUUGAAGGUAAGAUCAUUUGGUGCCCUUGAUAGAAAUUGGGUAUGUAGACUCUUUAACACUAUGACCAAGAACUUGCAGGCGAACUAUACUGUGUCAACCGUUAGAUGCUCACAAUCGGUCCCGAACACUUAAUCUCUAGAGUUCACAACCUUGUUAGAUCAAGGAGUACAUGAACAUACGAUCCAUUUCCAUGAAAAUAUGAACGAAUCUCUAUGGAUUAUGAAAAACUCUGUAGAUUGGUAAUGAAGAUAAGAUCACAUAUAGGUGAUACAUGUGCACCUUAUUAUUGUCCCCAUGGUCUCGACGACAACUAGCAUUCUCCUCCUCCACCUCAAGCACCAUCUCUAAUCUAAUUUUAUUAUAUUUGAACAUAUAAAUGUUUAAAUUUGUAAUAAAUAUUUGAUUUUUAUAUUAAAAUAAUCUAUUUUUAAAUAUUUCAAUUUUAUAUUAAUUUAAUUUUUUAGCUAUUUUGUAUUUUAGUUUAGUAGAUUUUUUAAAAAAUAUUUUUAAAUUAUUAUUGAUGGGGUUGCUAAUAGACUUAUUUCGUCGGUAUAUUCCAGAGAGUUGGAAAAAAAUUACAGCAAAUGUCAAUGCUACUAUUAACUUACCAACGAAAUCAGUAUGUCAGUAUAUUCUAGAGAGUUGAAAAAACAUUACUGCAAAUGUCACUGUAACUUUUAACUCACUAAUGGAAUAAGCUCGUUAAUAUAUUUUAGAGAGUUGGAAAAGAGUUACAGUAAAUGGCACUGCAACUAUUAACUCAAUAAUGAAAUUACAUAUAAUUCUCAUGUUGGUGAUAUGUUAAAUUGUACCGAGAGAAUGAUUGGUGUAAUGAAACGGAUAAUUUUUUUUUCACGCACAUAUUCCAUCUAUAAAAUCAUCAAUGAACUUAUUGAAAGAUAAAAAAUUACAUAUAAAUAUUUUUCUAACAUAUAUUUUUUAUUCAUGACUGUGUUGAUAAAAUAAUUACAGACGAAUUGUUGGUCUAAAUACUGUGAAAUAUUCUUGUGGUGAGAAGCAUGAAAUGAUUCAUCAGUGUUAAUGUCAACCUCUGAGUAGAACAAGCUGUUAAAUGGAGACAGAUUGACCAACUCUUUGUAUCUACUAUGCUCAAUAAAAUCCUACAAACAAAAUAAAAAACAAUUUGUUUGGGGAUUUUAUCUAAUUUGGUGGGCUUGCCUUAUUUUGUUAAUUAAAAGGUAAUAGAUACAUUAAAAAAAACAACACAAAUUAAAACCUGCUUAUAAUUUAGAAAAAAACCACCUGUCUUUCAUUUUUAACAACAUAGAAAUUGCACCACCACUGUCGCAGUGUAUUUUAAAAAGGAGAGGCCACUUUGUUCACGAAUGUAGCCACCCUUCUCAACUCCUCUCCCAGAAACAGCCCCUCCCUUCUCGCCACCUCCCUGUUCCCAAAUCUACCAACCUUCUCCACCUCUCAAGUCCUCUAUAAAAAGACAGCUCCUCCUUUCUGGCUUCCCUCAUUCUCGGAUCUAGCCAUCCUUUCCAUCCCCCUCUCGAAAAAGGCUUCUCUCUUUCGCUACCCCUUGUUUCUUAUGUUAAAAAAAUUUGUAACUGAUAUUAUUAUCCGAAGCAACGUUGCAUCAAAAACUAGGUAAUUUGUUAAGUAAUUUGUUAGAGAAAUGCCGCUUGCCUUCCUUGAGCAUCUUAUUGCCAGAAUCUCAAGCAUUUUUAUGAACAUGGAUUCACCUUCUUACGUCUGCCUGUGAAUUGUAAUGCGGGAAGGAAAAACGUUAAGUCUAAUAAUCAAAUACAUUUAGCAGUGAAUUAAUAGCAAAGUAUAGAUAUAGAGGGCCAUCUGGAUAUGCAGGAUGCCAUGAAGAUGAAGGAAUGUUGUACUCUCAUAAACUGAGACAGAAGAUCUUUAAACAAGUACGAAAAUGAAGUAAAAUUUCACUAAUUAAGGCAACAUCUGCCUGCAAACAUCGAUCACGAGAGAGCUACAGAGAGAGCUCUCUUCUUUAUACAAAAGGAAAUGGCAGAAACAAAACAACAGAUGAACAUUGCAUUCAAUUUCUAAAUUGCUAUAGACAAUUAUUGGACUGAUCCAUUCAGCUACUUCAUUUGUUCAUUCCAGUUGCAUUCUUCACUCCUUCAACAGCUGCCUGUGCCGUAGACAUCACCUGUUCACCAGCCUACACCAAGAACAAGUAUCAUAAUUAAAUUACACAUCUGUUCGUUAUUUUCUUGAGCACAAGCUACUGUAGUGGUGAGGAUGAAUUCUCUGGGGAAAAAACACAGAAAAUGAGAUUGAAGGAAAGUAUUUGAAUACCCCUUGCACUGAUUCCUUUGCAUAUUGAGCAGCAUUACCAGCUUUGUCCAUCAUGGUAGGACUGGUCUUCUCCUGAAACAAACAAAAUCCAUGCCUUAUCAUGUAUUGGAAGAGAAAUAUCAUUGUGUUCUUGAGCACAAGCUACUGUAGAGGUGACGAUGAAUUCUCUAAAAAAAAAACAUAGAAAUGAGAUUGAAGGAGAGUAUUUGAAUACCCCUUGCACUGAUUCCUUUGCAGAUUGAGCAGCAUUACCAGCUUUGUCCAUCAAGGUACUGGCCUUCUCCUGAAACGAACAAAAUCCAUGCCUUCUCAUGUAUUAGAGCAGAAAAAUCAAGCAGAUUCAUGAAUUAAAAGGAAGAAAUAAACAAAUUUCACAGGCUGACCUGAACUUGGCCCUUGGCCUCACCAGCUUUGAAGCUCAUCUUCUGGGUAUUGUCAGCCAUCUUUGGUUUCUGAUUUCUUUAAAAGAUUUGGAAGAACUCAAAUAAAUUCUCAGAUUCUUGAAAAAACAAAACUCUUGGUAGUAAAGGAAUGCCAUGGCAGCCAUAAUUUAUACUGAUUAAAACCAGUCCAUUGCUGGACACGUGCAAUGCCACGUGUCAAGCUAUAGAUUGCUUGGAAUAUCAUCUGUUAUUGAGGUUGAGAUUUUGGGGGCCUUUGACCAGGUGGGUUGUGAAUUUUGUGAAUAAUUCAUGUGCUAACUUUCUUUGUUUGUUUGACAAAAUAAACAAAUAAUUCAAUUAAAAAAUUAAAGAAUCCAAAAUCUGGAACCCAACUCUUAAUAGAAACCAACAUUUUCAUACAUGUAAGUGUUGUCCAAAUUUUAUAAGACAAUUGAGAAAAAAAAGAUUUAGUUUAUGUGACUAAUAUGAAAAAACUUCUUGAAUAUUUAAUUAGCAUAAACUUGAUUUUUUUUAGAUUUGUUUAUUAAAUAUUUUUAAUAUUUUUUAAUUAUAUACAAAUUACCGAGAUUUUAUUUGAAUGUUCCAUUUAAAAUUUGUUUUCAAAAUUAUAAUGGAUUUUUAUUUAGAAAAUAAUGCUUGUAAUUUAUAAAAUAUCCUAAUAAUAGAUUAAUUAUUGAUUUUAUGAUUAUUUUUUAUUAUAUUAUUAAAUAAAAUAUAAUUUUAAAAAAUAUAAAAUCAGUUAAAAAUUUUUAAGUUUGAUUUACUUGAUAAAAUUUAAUAAUAAUUUUAAAAAAAUUCUCAAAUACUUUUUUUUAUUUAAUUUGAUGUAGCAUAAAAGUUAUGUUUAUUGGAAGUUCUAGUCAUUGGUAGGUUUGACUGAGUCUUUAGGAAUUUGUUAUUUGAUUUAGCGGCUGAGAAAGUGUCUUCUUCAUGAUAUUAUUUAGAGGAAUUGUGGUGAGUGCGUUCUAAUGUAAAGUCUAUUAAUAGGUCUUUUUUUUUUUCAUUGUCAAGAACAUAGCUUUCUCUUUCAACAAGUCUCUUUUGUUAUUUUUCUUUAUUUAGUAAUAGUGGUAGCAUAGCCGGGUUAGUGAGAUAAAAGCAAAAGAGAAAAAGUUCUCAAAUAGUGAGUCUCCAAAAUAGUUCAAAUAGCAGUAGCUCUUUUUUCCUCAUAUUUAUAUCUUGCAGAAAACGAGGUACUUAAAUUCCAAUUUUGUGCAAGCAGUAAUCCCACAUUUUAAUGUUCAUUAUAACCAUUGGAGUAUGUUAAUUGGGAACUUUCUUCGAUCAAAAAAAUAUUGGUCGAUUAUUGAAUCUGGAAUUGAAGAAUUAGCAACAACUGCAGUCUUGAUAGAUGCCCAGAAAACAUAGUUGGAAAAGAGAAAACUUAAAUAUUUGAAGGCAAAAAAUUAGAGAAAGCUUAAAUAUUUGAAGGCAAAAAAUUAUCUUUGUCAUGCAAUUGAUUGUCCCAUCUUGGAAAUAAUUCUUAGCAAAGAAACUAGGAUAUGUGAGAUUCCAUGAAAAAAAAAAAAUCAAGGUUCUACUAGAGUAAAGCAUGUACAGCUUCAAGUCUUGAGACGAGACCCUACAUAUGAAGGUUGGAGAAUAUGUCACCAACUAUUGUGCCAUAAUUAUGGAGAUAAACAACAAAAUGCGAUUUUCAUGGUGAGAAGAUGGAUGAUGGUGUUAUUGUUGAAAAGAUAUUGCAUUCUUUAACAAUAAAAUAUGAUUAUGUUGUAUGUUUGAUUGAAGAAUCAAAAGACAUAAAUACACUCUUUCUUGAUGAACUGUAAAGCUCUUUUUAGUCAAUGAACAAAAGAUGAAUUGAAGUUCAAAUACAAACGAGCAAGCUUCAAAGGCUUUUACCUUUACUCAGUUCUCAAAUUUUAGAGGAAGAGGUAAAGGUAAAGAAAAGGGAGGUAGAGGUAAUAAAGAUGGCAACAUACAAUACUUUAAGGCUGGUGAUGAUCAAUAUCAAGGCAGAGACAGAGGACAGGUUCAACACUUUAACAAAUCUAAGGUAGAGUGUUUCAAAUGUCAUAAAUUUGAACAUUAUCAUUCUAAGUGUUAUGCUAGGCUACCUAAUGACAAAGCAAAGGAGAGCAAUUGUAUUUUGCUGAAAAACAAAUCCAUCUUCUAAUGGAGGUAAAAGAUAUUUAAUUACCUUCAUUGAUGCUUUUCCUCGAAAAACUUGGGUUUAUUUUUUACAGCAAAAAUCAAAAGCUCUAUGUGUAUUUUAAAGCUUUAAGGCUCAUGUGGAGAAUGAAACAUGAGAGAUUGUUAAGACCCUUCGAACAAUUAUGGUGGAGAAUAUUGCUCAACCGAAUUUGAAGUUUUUUGUAUGGAUCAUGGCAUUCAAAGGGAACUCACAGCUACUUAUACACCACAAUAAAAUGGUGUAUCAGAGCAAAAAAAAAAAAGUCUAUUGUAGUAGCUCGAUCUCUUCCUCGUAUUCGAAAAAGGCCUGCAUAGAGGGAAGACUAUAAGGUAACUCGAAUUGAAGAUCCAAUCACUCACUUUGCUUUAUUUUCAGAUUGUAAUCCUACAACCUUUGAAAAUGCUGUCAAAAAAGCAAAAUGGAGGAAGGCGAUGGAUGAUGAAAUUGAUGCCAUUGAAAGAAAUGACAAUUGGGAGCUGACUGAUAUUUCGAAAGCACAUAAAACCAUUAGUUUAAAGUGGGUUUUCAAAACAAAACUAAAAUAACAUGGUAAAGUUGAUAAAUAUAAGGCACGUUUGAUAGCUAAGGGAUAUAAACAAGAAUAUAGGAUCGAUUAUAUAGAAGUUUUUGCUCCCGUUGGAAGACAUGAUACAAUCAGAUUGGCGGCGUAGAACUUGUGGCCUAUUUUCCAAUUGGAUGUCAAAUCAACAUUCUUGCAUUAAAACUUGAAAGAACAAGUAUUUGUAGAACAACCUUUUGGUCAUAUUAAGAUCAUAAAUGAGCAUAAAGUUUAUAGAAUAAAUAAAGCUCUUUAUGGAUUAAAACAAGCUUCACGAGCUUGGUAUAAUCACAUUGAUACUUAUUUUUUGAAAGAAGGCUUUCACAAAUGUCCAUAUGAGCACGUACUAUUUGUUAAAAUUGAAGAUAAGGAGAAAUUGCUCAUUGUUUACUUAUAUAUAGAUGAUCUUAUAUUUACUAGAAAUGAUGUUGUUAUGUUUAAGGAAUUCAAGAAAUAUAUGAUGAUUGAAUUUGAAAUGUUUGACCUUGGUAUGAUGCAUUAUUUUCUUGGUAUAGAAGUAGUGCAAUCCGCUAAUGGGAUAUUUAUUUCUCAAAAUAAGUACGUGUAAGAUAUUUUGGACAAGUUUCAAAUAAGGGAUUGCAAUUCUAUUAGCACUCCAACUAAAUUUGGCUUGACGUUAAACAAAGAUCAUGAAAGGAAAGAAGGUGGAUAACACAUUUUACAAAGCAAAUUGUUGGCAGUUUGAUGUAUUUAACUACAACAAGACCAGACAUAAUGUAUUUUGUGAGCUUAAUUAGUAAGUAUGUGGAGAAUCCAACAGAAAUGCAUUUGUUUGGAGCCAAGAGGAUCCCUCGUUACUUGCAAGGAACUAAAGAUUUUGGGUUGUUCUACAAGAAGGGCGAAAAGUAGUUGUUUAGGUUCUUUAACAAUGAUUAUUCAUGAGAUCAAACUGAUAAAAAAGCACUUCGGGUUAUGUGAGUUAUUUUUAUGUUGGGCACAGGUGUUGUUUCAUGGUCUUUAAGAAGCAACAAAUUGUCAUCUUAUUAACAAAUUGUCUGAAUUUAUUGUUGCCAUAGCUUGUGCUUGUCAAGCUAUCUAGUUAACAAGAAUUCUUGAAGAACUACAAUUCUAGCAAAUUAAGGUUACUAGUUUUUUAUGAUAACAACUCAGUGAUUAAACCUUCAAGAAUCUAGUAAACGGAAGACAACCAUAUCAAUGUUAAAUAUUAUUAUUUUAAGAGAUCUAAGUCUGGUUUAUCAUCGAAGUGAAGACCAAAUUAUAGAUAUACAGGCCAAGUCUCUCAAAUUUGCUAUAUUUGUUAAAUUACAUAAUCUACUUGGAGUUUGUUCAUGUUCUAAAGUGAACGAGAAUUUUACAGAGGAUUGAUUUUCCUUUUAAACUGAUAUAUGUAGAUUUCAGUUUAAUAAAGAGUGUUAAGAGUUAAGUGUUUUAUUUAAUGUUUAUUGAAAGUUCUAGUCUUUGGUACGUUUGACAAAGUCUUUAGAAAUUUAUUAUUUAAUUUAGUUGCUGAAAUGUACGAUGCUAUUUUAUUAUGAUGAAUGCGUUCUGAUAUAAAACCUAUUUAUAAUUUAUUUAUUUUAUUCUCAAGAAUAGAGUUCUUUUUUAACACGUCUCUUUUUUUAUUUUUACGUACUAGGUCCCACUAAACACAGUGUGUCGGAAUGAUUAUUACGGAGGUGACUGGAGUUGUCAGAAACCUGAUAAAGGCUAAGGACUGUCCGUUGUUCAUUGAUGACAAAGGUACGGAUGUGAGCUAUUAUUGGCCACAUAUCUACUUCAUUAUUAUUAUUAUUAUUAUUAUUAUUUAACUUUUGACUAGAUUACAAAUAUAUAUUAUACGUUUUCCUAUUUUUCUUUGGAAGUCAUACAAACUUGUAUAUUUUAUUUAUCUUUUUCUCACAACAAAAAUUAGUUAUAUUAUAUUUUCUAUUAUAAAAAAACAAAGAAAACAUUUACAAAAAAAGUACCAUAUUAAUAUUAAAACAUAAAAAAGGAAAGAUUCCUUGAUAGAAAAACAAACCAUGAAAAAAUAAUAUUAAUUAAUAUUUUUUUAGACUUUAAUCUUUGUUCUGUAAACUCACAACAUAUUUUUUAUGUAACAAAAUUAAUAUGUGGAACUUAUUUUGUCUUCUUUCAAGCACGUCCAUCCUAUUAGGAAAAUCUAAUUUUUUUUCCGACACAUUAAAAUUAUAAUUUCGUUAAAAUAAUAUAGUUCACAUCAAAAUUGAUUUAAUUUGGUGAUUAGAAAAUAAAAAUAUGUAUGAAAAAAAUUUAAUAAUAUAAAGAUAUAAUUAUCCGAAGCAGCAACUUCUCAUAAAAGACUAGUUUGUUAAGAAAUUUCUCAGAGAAAGCAUCUUAAGGCCAGAAUCUUAAGCAUUUUUUAUGAACAUGGAUUCAUCACCUUCUGAUGUUUGCCUGUGAAUUUGUAAAAGCAUGAGUGGAGUGUUUUAUUAUUUUUUAAUAAGUUUGAUAUUUUUUUUCUAGAAAUAUGUAAAAUUAUCAUUUAUAAAAGAGAAAAUAUUAUUUUAAUAUUUGUUUAGCACUUUAAUAUGCAAAAUAAAUAUAAAAAAUUUAAAAUAAUAUUUUUUAAUAUUUAGCUUUUCAUUUAAGACACCCAUGGGAGAUGCUCUAAUGUGUGAAGGCAAACGUUAGCUCUAAUCAAAUAAAUUUAGCAGUGAAUUAAGAGCAAAGUACAUACACAUAUAUAUAUAUAUACACACACACACACAUAAAUAUAUAUAUAUAUAUAUAUAUAUAUAUAGGGCCAUCUGCACAUGAAGAUGAAGCAAUGUUGGGAUCUCAUAAACCGAGGCAGAAGAUCUUUAAACAAGUACGAAACUGAAAGUAAAUUUCAGUAAUUAGGGCAAUAUCUGCCUGCAAACAUCACGAGAGAGCUACAGAGAGAGAUCUCUUCUUUAAUCAAAAGGAAAUGACAGAAACACAACAAUAGAUGAACAUUGCAUUCAAUUUCUAAAUUGCUCCAUUCAGCUAAUUCAUUUGUUCAUGCCAGUUGCCUUCUUAAUUCCGUCCACAGUUCCCUGUGCCGUAGACAUCACCUGUUGACCAGCCUACACCAAGAGCAAGUAUCAUAAUUAAAUUACACAUCUGUUCGUUAUAUUCUUGAGCACAAGCUACUGUAGCGGUGAGGAUGAAUUCUCUAGGAAAAAAAACACAGCAAAUGAGAUUGAAGGAAAGUAUUUGAAUACCCCUUGCACUGAUUCCUUUGCAUAUUGAGCAGCAUUACCAGCUUUCUCCAUCAUGGUAGGACUGGUCUUCUCCUGAAACAAACAAAAUCCAUGCCUUAUCAUGUAUUGGAAGAGAAAUAUCGUUGUGUUCUUAAGCACAAGCUACUGUAGAGGUGAGGAUGAAUUCUCUUAAAAAAAAACAUAGACAUGAGAUUGAAGGAGAGUAUUUGAAUACCCCUAGCACUGAUUCCUUUGCAGAUUGAGCAGCAUUACCAGCUUUUUCCACCAAGGUACUGGCUUUCUCCUGAAACAAACAAAAUCCAUGCCUUCAUGUAUUAGAAGAGCAAGAUCAAGCAGAUUCAUAAAUAAAAAGGAAGAAAUAAACAAAAUUCAAAGGCUGACCUCAGCUCGGCCCUUGGCCUCGCCAGCUUGGAAGCUCAUCUUCUGGGUAUUGUCAGUCAUCUUUGGUUUCUGAUUUCUUGUGAGAGAUUUGGAAGAAUUCAAAUAAAUCGAAAGCUCAAAUGCUUGAAAAAUGAAAACUCUUGGUAGUAAAGGAAUGCCAUAGCAGCCAUGAUUUAUACUGGUUUAAACCAGUCCGUCGCUGGACAUGUACUAUUCCACGUGUCAAGCUACGAUUGCUCGGAAUAAUAUCUGUUUUGAGGUUGAGAUUAUGGGGGCCUUUCACCAGGGGGGUUGUGAAUAAUUAAUGUGCUAAUUUUCUUUGUUUGUUAAAAAAAUAAUAAAAAGUUCUUUCGGUUAUUUCUUAACAGAUUCAAUUAAGAAAGGAUCAUGAUUGAGGGAUCCAAAAUCUUGAGCCCAAGACACCAAAGUUACAUACAUACAAUAUUGUCCAAAUCUUAUGACAUGAUUGAGAAAAAACAUAUUAUAUACAUACAAUAUUGUCCAAAUCUUAUGACAUGAUUGAGAAAAAGCAUGAUUAGUAAUUUAAAUAUUACAUCUUGUAAUCAUGAUAAAAAAAAAAUUAUAUAUAUAGAUUCUAGCAUGCAUGUUCAAAUUGAAUAUAUAUUAAACUUAUAAUUGAUAUCUAAAUAAAAUUCUAGUAUGUAUAGUAAUCAUAUAAUAUAUCUUUAUAAAAACCAAACUUAAGCUCUAAAGUAUAGAAAAAAAAAGUCAAAAAACGAGUCUUUUUAUGAUCUUUGUUUGUUUGCCAAAAUGUUUUUUUUUUUUUUUAACACAUUCAUAGGUUGUUAACCACUUUUAUGUGGUAUAAUUAAACUAAUAAUUUUUAUAAAUUUUUUUAUUUGUAACAUAAACAUAUAAAAAUUAUAAAAUAAACAAAAAAAUAUUAAUAUUUUUUCAAGUCUUUUAAAAAUGGAUAAAAAACCGUUGUUCCAAACUCGACACCAAACACACACAGACACUUGCUCUAAAAUGUAAAUCCCAAUUAGGUUACAAAGAAAGCUUGGUUUGAUCAUCUUAGGUGUGAAAUCUAUUGAAGAUCAAUCCAGAAUUUUCUCACCGCCUACCAUCUUCGGAUCAUGUAGAAAUAUCUAUCCAUAACUCCAGCAGAAAAUAUCUUAGCUACAUGUGGCUGGUGUUGUGUUUAGUAUUACGUUUUAGAAGUAUUUAAAAAAAUAAUAAAAUAUUUUUUAUUUUAAAUUAAUAUUUUUCAGAUUAUUUUUUAUAUACUGAUAUUAAAAUAAUUUUUUAAAAAUAAAAUAAAAAUUAUUUUAAUAUAUUUUAAAAUAAAAAACAUUUUAAAAAAACUACCAUACACCCAAAGACACGUGACAUAUGAUGUAUGCUGGAAAUUUCUCCUACCGACAUAGCAUAGCCACGUGUGGGUGUGUGUGUGGUUCCUUCAUUUUGUGUGGUGGGCAACGAGUGAGAAGAUAGAUGAAUAAGUGAAAGAGUGUCAGAAAAAAGAGAGAUAAUAAUGAAGAGAGUAUUCAGUGUGUGUCGCGUGAGCUUUUGGAAACGCGUUAUCUCGCUUUUUCAAAAAACUUUUAAAUUCUUUUUAUUAAAAUUUAAUUUUUUAUAUAUUUUUUUAAAUAAUUUUAAUAUAUAAAUUUCAAAAAUAAUUUUUAAAAAAUAAAAAAAUAUAUUAUUUUAAUAUAAAAAAUCCUUUAAAAAAUAAUUAUAACUAAAAUGACAAUCACCCAGUUAAAAGACGUAUAAAUUAGUUAGCUUCAAAGUCGUUGCUCAAAAUUCAUGUUCAACAAAGUCUUUUUAUUUUUAUAACAAAAAUUUUCAAAACAUUUAUCGAAAAAGCAAUGUAAAAAAUAAAAAACAUUAAUGGUUAUGGAUAAAGAAAAAAACCAAUGAAUAAUUAAUAUAAAACUUCAUUUUUUUUAAGAUUUGUUUUAUCACUUUCUUUCAAUAUUUUUUUAAUUAUAUAUAAAAUACCGAGAUUUUGAGAUUUUGUUUGAAUGUUAGAAUUAAGAUUUGCUUUUAAGGCCUGGAAAAUAUUGAUUGCAAUUUAUAAAAUAUUCUGAUAUUAGGUUAAUAAAUGAUUUUACAAUUGUUUUUUAUUGUAUUAUUAAAUAAAAUAUAAUUUUAAAAAAUAUAAAUUCUAGUUAAAAGAGUUUUUAAAUUUAAUUUACUGGAUCGGAUUUAAUAAUAAUCUAAAAAAACAUAAGUUUAAUUUUGAAAAUUUUAUUUCAAAGUAUUUUUUUUUCUUUAUUAUAAUUCCUACACUACCCUAAAAGCUCAUUUAAAAACUUAGGCUGCCUUUUCUUUCAUAGAAACAAUUUGCAGUAUAUUUGACAUCUAAUAUACUUUUCACUUAUAACUUAGGCUGCCUUUUCUUUCAUAGAAACAAUUUGCAGUAUAUUUGACAUCUAAUAUACUUUUUCACUUAUAAGAUAGUUUUUAGCUUUUAAUGUAAAAUGAGAUAUAUUAAUUAGGUGUUUGUAUUUUUCCUCUUUUUGUUUACUUCAGCUAAUUUUGUUUCUUCAUAAUAAUAGCAAUGGAUUAAGAUUAAUUAAGAGUGAUGAUCUAAGUGGAGCAAUGUUAUGGAAUUCUAAGCUGCUCUUGAACUCACACUUCAGGGACUUUAGACUUAGUCAGAUUCAUAAACACCAAAUAUUCAAGGAGUGAAUUAAUAGCAAAGUAUAGAUAUAUAGGGCCAUCUGGACAUGCAGGAUGCCAUGAAGAUGAAGGAAUGUUGUGCUCUCAUAAACCGAGACAAAAGAUCUUUAAACAAGUACGUACGAAACUGAAGUAAAAUUUCACUAAUUAGGGCAAAAUCUGCCUGCAAACAUCGAUCACGAGAGAGCUACAGAGAGAGCUCUCUUCUUUAUACGAAAGGAAAUGGCAGAAACAAAACAAGAGAUGAACAUAGCAUUUAAUUUCUAAAUUGCUAUAGACAAUUAUUGGACUGCUCCAUUCAGCUACUUCAUUUGUUCAUGCCAGUUGCAUUCUUCACUCCUUCAACAGCUGCCUGUGCCGUAGACAUCACCUGUUGACCAGCCUAAACCAAGAACAGGUAUCAUAAGUAUAUUAUACAUUUGUCCAUUGUAUUCUUGAGCACAAGCUACUGUAGUGGUGAGGAUGAAUUCUCUCAAAAAUAAAACACAGAAAAUGAGAUUGAAGGAAAGUAUUUGAAUACCCCUUGCACUGAUUCCUUUGCAUAUUGAGCAGCAUUACCAGCUUUGUCCAUCAUGGUAGGACUGGUCUUCUCCUGAAACAAACAAAAUCCAUGCCUUAUCACGUAUUGGAAGAGAAAUAUCAUUGUGUUCUUGAGCACAAGCAAGUGUAGAG